rnacentral:rRNA from 1 species
UACGUAGGGUGCAAGCGUUUAAUCGGAAUUACUGGGCGUAAAGCGUGCGCAGGCGGUUUUGUAAGACAGAUGUGAAAUCCCCGGGCUUAACCGAGGAACUGCCUGUCAGACUGGAAGGCUUGAGACCGGGAGAGGUGAGUGGAAUUCCCAGUGUAGCGGUGAAAUGCGUAGAUAUUGGGAGGAACACCAGUGGCGAAGGCGGCUCACUGGACCGGUACUGACGCUGAGGCGCGAAAGCGUGGGGAGCAAACAGG